UACGGAGGGUGCAAGCGUUGCUCGGAAUUACUGGGCGUAAAGCGUACGCAGGCUGUUCGUUAAGUCGGGUGUGAAAUCCCGGGGCUCAACCCCGGAAUUGCGCCCGAAACUGGCGAGCUUGAGUGCGGGAGAGGGAAGCGGAAUUCCUGGUGUAGAGGUGAAAUUCGUAGAUAUCAGGAGGAACACCGGUGGCGAAAGCGGCUUCCUGGCCCGACACUGACGCUCAUGUACGAAAGCUAGGGGAGCGAACGGG
rnacentral:rRNA from 1 species